rnacentral:rRNA from 1 species
CCGUUCAAUACUGCGGAGCUCGAGGGCAGAAGAGGGGGGUGGAAUUGCUGGUGUAGUGGUGAAAUGCGUAGAUAUCAGCAGGAACACCUGUGGCGAAAGCGGCCCCCUGGUCUGCUCCUGACACUCAGACGCGAAAGCUAGGGGAGUGAACGGGAUUAGAAACCCCGGUAAUCCUAGCCGUAAACGAUGGAUGCUAGGUGUGGGUGGUAUUGACCCCAUCCGUGCCGAAGCCAACGCGUUGAGCAUCCCGCCUGGGGACUACGGCCGCAAGGUUAAAACUCAAAGGAAUUGACGGGGACCCGCACAAGCAGCGGAGCGUGUGGUUUAAUUCGAUGCUACACGAAGAACCUUACCCAGGUUUGACAUGCAGGUAGUAGUGAAGCGAAAGCGGAACGAUCCCUCGGGAAGCCUGCACAGGUGCUGCAUGGCUGUCGUCAGCUCGUGCCGUGAGGUGUUUGGUUAAGUCCACUAACGAGCGCAACCCCUGUCGUCAGUUACAUGUGUCUGGCGAGACUGCCGGUCUUAAACCGGAGGAAGGUGGGGAUGACGUCAAGUCAGCAUGGCCUUUAUAUCUGGG